AUUGCGACAGCUUCGACUCGUGAAAUAUCUGACUCGGGAUUAUUUUCACUGAUGGAUUAAAAUAUAUAAGAGUACCAAGUGUGACUACUUUAUAACAUGAACUGAUGAUGGGACAUUUUUUGUGUAUAAUUGUGGUGGUGACCUGCUGCCUGGUCUACAAAUGCCAGUGUCAAUGGACAGGUGCUGAUUACUGGAAUAGCAGAUAUGAAGAUGAAGGCUUAUUUGUUGCAUAUGAAACAGGUGUUGACAUGUGGAACGGUCUGUGGUCACAUUCAUCUGCACUGAAUGGUGGUUAUGGUAGAGCGACAGCAGACUACAGUAUAAAGACUUGUACUGGCUGUACUUGUGAUGAUAAUAAGGAGACAAUAACUAAUUGUAAUGGACCUUCCAUGUAAGCUAAAUGUAGUUAUAUACAAAUGUAUAUACAGUGCACAUGUAAUAAAUAGACUUAAAACCUUUUUCUCUGGUCAGACUCUAUCCCAAUUUUGUUUUGAAUAAAUUCUAUACAUUUCUAUUCUUUUAUGGA